GACGAACGCUGGCGGCGUGCUUAACACAUGCAAGUCGAACGGAAAGGCCCUGCUUUUGUGGGGUGCUCGAGUGGCGAACGGGUGGGUAACACGUGAGUAACCUGCCCUUGACUUUGGGAUAACUUCAGGAAACUGGGGCUAAUACCGGAUAGGAGCUCCUGCGGCAUGGUGGGGGUUGGAAAGUUUCGGCGGUUGGGGAUGGACUCGCGGCUUAUCAGCUUGUUGGUGGGGUAGUGGCUUACCAAGGCUUUGACGGGUAGCCGGCCUGAGAGGGUGACCGGCCACAUUGGGACUGAGAUACGGCCCAGACUCCUACGGGAGGCAGCAGUGGGGAAUAAUGCACAAUGGGCGGAAGCCUGAUGCAGCAACGCCGCGUGCGGGAUGACGGCCUUCGGGUUGUAAACCGCUUUCGCCUGUGACGAAGCGUGAGUGACGGUAAUGGGUAAAGAAGCACCGGCUAACUACGUG
rnacentral:rRNA from 1 species